AGUGAACGCUGGCGGUAGGCCUAACACAUGCAAGUCGAACGGCAGCACAGUAAGAGCUUGCUCUUACGGGUGGCGAGUGGCGGACGGGUGAGGAAUACAUCGGAAUCUACUUUUUCGUGGGGGAUAACGUAGGGAAACUUACGCUAAUACCGCAUACGACCUACGGGUGAAAGCAGGGGAUCUUCGGACCUUGCGCGAUUGAAUGAGCCGAUGUCGGAUUAGCUAGUUGGCGGGGUAAAGGCCCACCAAGGCGACGAUCCGUAGCUGGUCUGAGAGGAUGAUCAGCCACACUGGAACUGAGACACGGUCCAGACUCCUACGGGAGGCAGCAGUGGGGAAUAUUGGAGAAUGGGCGCAAGCCUGAUCCAGCCAUCCCGCGUGGGUGAAGAAGGCCUUCGGGUUGUAAAGCCCUUUUGUUGGGAAAGAAAAGCAGCAGGUUAAUACCCCGCUGUUCUGACGGUACCCAAAGAAUAAGCACCGGCUAACUUCGUG
rnacentral:rRNA from 1 species